CGCGUAGGCGGUUUAUCAAGUCGCAUGUGAAAUACCAGGGCUCAACCCUGGGAGGUCAUGUGAAACUGAUGGACUUGAGUGCAGUAGAGGAAAGCGGAAUUCCUGGUGUAGCGGUAAAAUGCGUAGAGAUCAGGAGGAACACCGGUGGCGAAGGCGGCUUUCUGGGCUGUAACUGACGCUGAGGCGCGAAAGCGUGGGGAGCAAACAGGAUUAGAUACCCUGGUAGUCCACGCUGUAAACGAUGAAUACUAGGUGUAGGGGACGCAGGUCUUCUGUGCCGGAGCUAACGCAAUAAGUAUUCCGCCUGGGGAGUACGGCCGCAAGGUUGAA
rnacentral:rRNA from 1 species